rnacentral:rRNA from 1 species
ACGGCUCAGUAACACGUGGCCAACCUGCCCUUGGGACGGGAACACCCCCGGGAAACUGGGGUUAAUUCCCGAUAGGUGAAGAAGUCUGGAAUGACUCUUCGCUUAAAAGACGUUUAUGUCAUGCUCAUAUUCGUCGCCCAGGGAUGGGGCCGCGACCGAUCAGGUAGUUGGUGAGGCAAUGGCUCACCAAGCCUUUUACCGGUGCGGGCCGUGAGAGCGGGAGCCCGGAGAUGGGCACUGAGACAAGGGCCCAGGCCCCACGGGGCGCAGCAGUCGCGAAAAUUUUGCAAUACACGAAAGUGUGACAGAGCUAUCCCGAGUGCCAUCCGCUGAGGAAGGCUUUUACCCAGUAUAAAAAGCUGGGAGAAUAAGGAGAGGGCAAGUCUGGUGUCAGCCGCCGCGGUAAUACCAGCUCUCCGAGUAGUGUGGACGUUUAUUGGGCCUAAAGCAUCCGUAGCUUGCUAGAUAAGUCCUCUGUUAAAUCCACCGAUUCAAUCGUUGGAUUGCGGGGGAUACUGUUUGGCUAGGGGACGGGAGAGGUCGACGGUAUUUCCGGGGUAGGGGUGAAAUCCUAUAAUCCCGGGAAGACCACCAGUGGCGAAGGCUGUCGACUAGAACGCGCCCGACGGUGAGGGAUGAAAGCUGGGGGAGCGAACCGGAUUAGAUAUCCGGGUAGUCCCAGCUGUAAACGAUGCAGGCUAGGUGUUUGGGCGGCCACGAGCCGCCCUAGUGCCGCAGGGAAGCUGUUAAGCCUGCCGCCUGGGGAGUACGGCCGCAAGGCUGAAACUUAAAGGAAUUGGCGGGGGAGCACCACAAGGGGUGAAGCUUGCGGUUUAAUUGGAUUCAACGCCGGG